AGGGCAUUCUGAGGCACCUACAAGUUUGGAACAACUUCGAAGCUGUGUAUUUUACAGAUGAGUCCGAGUGAGGCCCAGUUUUUUAACUCUUAACUCGGAUAUUUUGAAAAGAAGAACUCGGAUCAUAUCAAAUGUGGCUUUCAUCAUGUAAUAAUUGCACUUUCGUCUGGACCAUCUCCUUGAGACAAUCUUACUUCCUCAAUCAGCUCUGGGACCACUGUCUUUGAUAAUUCUUCCUAAACAAAUUCUAAAAGCACCCACAGUAGUACCAUCAGUGCCUUCUUGGUGACCUGUGUCCCAAUUCUGCAGGUAUCUUCCUCUAAAAGUCUACCUUCUCAUAGC